rnacentral:rRNA from 1 species
GACGAACGCUGGCGGCGCGCUUAACACAUGCAAGUCGAACGGAAAGGCCCUGCCUUUGUGCGGUGCUCGAGUGGCGAACGGGUGAGUAACACGUGAGUAAUCUGCCCUUGACUUUGGGAUAACUUCAGGAAACUGGGGCUAAUACCGGAUAGGCGCUCCUGCUGCCUGGUGGGGGUUGGAAAGUUUCGGUGGUUGGGGAUGGACUCGCGGCUUAUCAGCUUGUUGGGGGGGUAGUGGGUUACCAAGGCUGUGACGGGUCGCCGGCCUGCGAGGGUGAGCGGCGACAUUGGGACUAAGAGACGGCCCAGACUCCUACGGGAGGCAGCGGUGGGGAGUAUGGCACAAUGGGCGGAAGCCUAUGGCGGCGGCGCCGCGGGCGGGAUGACGGCCUUCGGGUUAUAAACCACUGUCGCCUGUAACGAAGCGUGAGUGACGGUAAUGGGUAAAGAAGCACCGGCUAAGUACGUG